rnacentral:rRNA from 1 species
AGAGUUUGAUCAUGGCUCAGAACGAACGUUGGCGGCGUGGAUUAGGCAUGCAAGUCGGGGGAAUCCCAGCAAUGGGGGAACCGGCGUAAGGGGCAGUAAGGCAUGGGUACCUACCCUGAAGUUCGGGAUAGCCAUCAGAGAUGGUGGGUAAUACCGGAUGAUGUCGUGAGACCAAAGAUUUAUCGCUUUGGGAGGGGCCCAUGUGAUAUUAGCUAGUUGGUGAGGUAACGGCUCACCAAGGCAAAGAUGUCUAGCGGGUAUGAGAGUACGACCCGCGCCACUCGCACUGAGACACUGGCGAGACACCUACGGGUGGCUGCAGUCGAGGAUCUUCGGCAAUGGGCGAAAGCCUGACCGAGCGACGCCGCGUGCGCGAUGAAGGCCUUCGGGUUGUAAAGCGCUUUAGUGGGGGAGAAAAGGGUAAAACCUUGAUCUAUCCCAAAAAUAAGCUCGGGCUAAGUUCGUGCCAGCAGCCGCGGUAAGACGAACCGAGCGAACGUUGUUCGGAAUCACUGGGCUUAAAGGGCGCGUAGGCGGGCUGUCAAGUCUGGGGUGAAAUCCCGCGGCUCAACCGUGGAACUGCCUUAGAUACUGACGGCCUCGAGGGAGGUAGGGGCGAGCGGAACUGUGAGUGGAGCGGUGAAAUGCGUUGAUAUUUACAGGAACUCCGGUGGCGAAGGCGGCUCGCUGGACCUUUUCUGACGCUGAGGCGCGAAAGCUAGGGGAGCAAACGGGAUUAGAUACCCUAGUAGUCC